GACCCAGAAACAGUAUUACAUACGUCACAACUUAACAAGCGGAUAAGUGAAUUUUCACCACACUGUGGAAAUGACAUGGUAUGUGCAGCCCAUUUGCGGUGAAUCUGUAGAAUUUGCCUCAAUCGUAUCUUCCAUGCACAAUCAAACAAUUAUAAUCAAGAAUAAAAUUAGCUUGAAGUGAAAAACAUCCUGUGAGUAAACGAGGGCUAGUGAUGUGAUGCUCUACAUUUAGAGUGACCCCAAACAUUGGUUUACUGUGUAUUAAGUUGUUAUUCAAGAAUAAUUAAGCAACUGUUGAAUAGUUUAAAUUAGUGUUGUCCCGAUACUGAAAUUUGGUACCAAUUUUAAUGCUGUUGAGUGCAUCUUAAAAAAACGCUGAUUUGCCAUUGCUCAACAGCGCUCAAAUGUUAGCGGGAAAUGGACGUGGUUUGGAUUAGUAUCGAAUACCAGUAACGUGACAACACUAGUUAAAAUGGGAUAUUAUGCAUUUUGUGGUUUUUAUUUGUUUCAUAAAAUACCUAUAUCGUUUUCAUUCAUUAAUUUAUUUAUAAAUUAAAUAUUUUCUUAACAACUAGACAAAAUUAAAGAAGUUCAAACUUAUUGUUUAAACUUAAGUAUUGUUUAUUGUAUUGCCAAGUUAACUAAAGCUGUUACAUUUUAAAAUUGUAAAUCUUAAAUACUUGUGUAAAAAAACAACACUGACAGAACAUUUUGCAAUAGGUUCAUAAGUCAUUAAGAAAUAGUUAUCAUCUGAAAUUGGCCUAGGCACUAAUAAAAUACCCAAUAACCAUCUAAAAUAGCCUAUUUCAUUGCAAUCAGAGAUAAGUUUUAGUUCCGCUCAUCAUAAACAGAUGCACGCCGACUGCUGUCAUGAACAAUGCUGGAUCUCCACCCCUAUUAUCCUUGAGUUUUAAACACGAGCUGCGGGACCCUAAGGAGCUUACGUGCUGAUCUCUCGGUGAGACUGCACCUUCACAGCUCAAGGCGACUGCAAGCUGACGUUAACACCAGACUGGCUAAUCUAAAGUGACCAGCACUAAUCAAGCGCCCCUUGAGUAAAGAGCCACUUGCUCCAGUGGAGGUGGAUGUUGACACAGAGUGAGGAGUGAAGGCCUAUUCACGUUGUUUACUUUCUUUCUUGGAAAGAGCACAGCUGAUAUGAGUCUGGAGACACAAAUACAGACAGAAAUGGGAAUACCUGCACAAAAGUGUGUGUCAACGACAUCGGUCGCGUUAAUUUGAAUGAGCCCACCACUAAUCCAGCAGGAGGCGGGGAGAUGGAGAGCCAAUGAGCAUGAAGGGCAUUUGUCACUUUUUCCCUCUGAAUAUCUGAAACAACAGAUUUUAUCGGCAUGCAAAGAUGACAACUAUAGGCAGACACUUUUCUAGACAGGCUCGAGCUCUAGGAGAGUUGAGUUCAACAGGCUAGAUUAACUGGAGCACUGAGGAAAAUUAUUGAUGGUUAUAGUUAAGCUAUUAAAAUAUGGUUCAGUAUAUUUGUGGUGCAACCUGAAUUGAAAUACUUUGACAAUUUCUGGAAAACUGACUUAUUUGAAUCAAAAGACAAAAAUCUGUACGUUAUCGCUACAUAUAUAGUGUUUGAUACACAAUAAAUCCAUCUAGCCUCUAA